rnacentral:rRNA from 1 species
GACGAACGCUGGCGGCGUGCUUAACACAUGCAAGUCGAACGGAAAGGCCCUGCUUUUGUGGGGUGCUCGAGUGGCGAACGGGUGAGUAACACGUGAGUAACCUGCCCUUGACUUUGGGAUAACUUCAGGAAACUGGGGCUAAUACCGGAUAGGAGCUCCUGCUGCAUGGUGGGGGUUGGAAAGUUUCGGCGGUUGGGGAUGGACUCGCGGCUUAUCAGCUUGUUGGUGGGGUAGUGGCUUACCAAGGCUUUGACGGGUAGCCGGCCUGAGAGGGUGACCGGCCACAUUGGGACUGAGAUACGGCCCAGACUCCUACGGGAGGCAGCAGUGGGGAAUAUUGCACAAUGGGCGGAAGCCUGAUGCAGCAACGCCGCGUGCGGGAUGACGGCCUUCGGGUUGUAAACCGCUUUCGCCUGUGACGAAGCGUGAGUGACGGUAAUGGGUAAAGAAGCACCGGCUAACUACGUGCCAGCAGCCGCGGUGAUACGUAGGGUGCGAGCGUUGUCCGGAUUUAUUGGGCGUAAAGGGCUCGUAGGUGGUUGAUCGCGUCGGAAGUGUAAUCUUGGGGCUUAACCCUGAGCGUGCUUUCGAUACGGGUUGACUUGAGGAAGGUAGGGGAGAAUGGAAUUCCUGGUGGAGCGGUGGAAUGCGCAGAUAUCAGGAGGAACACCAGUGGCGAAGGCGGUUCUCUGGGCCUUUCCUGACGCUGAGGAGCGAAAGCGUGGGGAGCGAACAGGCUUAGAUACCCUGGUAGUCCACGCUGUAAACGGUGGGUACUAGGUGUGGGGUCCAUUCCACGGGUUCCGUGCCGUAGCUAACGCUUUAAGUACCCCGCCUGGGGAGUACGGCCGCAAGGCUAAAACUCAAAGGAAUUGACGGGGCCCCGCACAAGCGGCGGAGCAUGCGGAUUAAUUCGAUGCAACGCGUAGAACCUUACCUGGGUUUGACAUGGAUCGGGAGUGCUCAGAGAUGGGUGUGCCUCUUUUGGGGUCGGUUCACAGGUGGUGCAUGCCUGUCGUCAGCUCGUGUCGUGAGAUGUUGGGUUAAGUCCCGCAACGAGCGCAACCCUUGUUCACUGUUGCCAGCACGUUAUGGUGGGGACUCAGUGGAGACCGCCGGGGUCAACUCGGGGGAAGGUGGGGAUGACGUCAAGUCCUCAUGCCCCUUAUGUCCAGGGCUUCACGCAUGCUACAAUGGCUGGUACAGAGAGUGGCGAGCCUGUGAGGGUGAGCGAAUCUCGGAAAGCCGGUCUCAGUUCGGAUUGGGGUCUGCAACUCGACCUCAUGAAGUCGGAGUCGCUAGUAAUCGCAGAUCAGCAACGCUGCGGUGAAUAAAUUCCCGGGGCU